rnacentral:lncRNA from 1 species
UUUUUUUUUUAAAAUUUUUUUUUUUAAAAUUUUUUUUUUUAAAAUUUUUUUUUUUAAAAUUUUUUUUUUUAAAAUUUUUUUUUUUAAAAUUUUUUUUUUUAAAAUUUUUUUUUUUAAAAUUUUUUUUUUUAAAAUUUUUUUUUUUAAAAUUUUUUUUUUUAAAAUUUUUUUUUUUAAAAUUUUUUUUUUUAAAAUUUUUUUUUUUAAAAUUUUUUUUUUUAAAAUUUUUUUUUUUAAAAUUUUUUUUUUUUUUUUUUUUUUUUUUUUAAAAUUUUUUUUUUUAAAAUUUUUUUUUUUAAAAUUUUUUUUUUUUUUUUUUUUAAAAUUUUUUUUUUUAAAAUUUUUUUUUUUAAAAUUUUUUUUUUUAAAAUUUUUUUUUUUAAAAUUUUUUUUUUUAAAAUUUUUUUUUUUAAAAUUUUUUUUUUUAAAAUUUUUUUUUUUAAAAUUUUUUUUUUUAAAAUUUUUUUUUUUAAAAUUUUUUUUUUUAAAAUUUUUUUUUUUAAAAUUUUUUUUUUUAAAAUUUUUUUUUUUAAAAUUUUUUUUUUUUUUUAAAAUUUUUUUUUUUAAAAUUUUUUUUUUUAAAAUUUUUUUUUUUAAAAUUUUUUUUUUUAAAAUUUUUUUUUUUAAAAUUUUUUUUUUUAAAAUUUUUUUUUUUAAAAUUUUUUUUUUUAAAAUUUUUUUUUUUAAAAUUUUUUUUUUUAAAAUUUUUUUUUUUAAAAUUUUUUUUUUUAAAAUUUUUUUUUUUAAAAUUUUUUUUUUUAAAAUUUUUUUUUUUAAAAUUUUUUUUUUUAAAAUUUUUUUUUUUAAAAUUUUUUUUUUUAACAAAAAAAAAAAAACCCUAUUGAAUCAAGUCAGUUUCCUAGCCAUAUGGAAAAGGGGACCUCUAAGUUUCUCCCUUCUUACAUCUUCCCCUGCAACACCUCAGCUUGAUUAAGUUCAUGGUAUCUUUUACCUUCAAAACCAUCAUAACAUUAUUAAAGUCUGACCACUUUAUUGGAGGGGAGCACUUGGGGUUAUCACGGCUCAGGGAUUGAUGUUUUCAGGAAAUGACUCUUUAACACCCAG